rnacentral:rRNA from 1 species
UACGGAGGGUGCAAGCGUUAAUCGGAAUUACUGGGCGUAAAGCGUGCGUAGGCGGUGAUUUAAGUCAGAUGUGAAAGCCCCGGGCUUAACCUGGGAACUGCAUUUGAUACUGGGUCACUAGAGUUGAGUAGAGGAGAGUGGAAUUUCAGGUGUAGCGGUGAAAUGCGUAGAGAUCUGAAGGAACACCAGUGGCGAAGGCGGCUCUCUGGACUCAAACUGACGCUGAGGUACGAAAGCGUGGGUAG